rnacentral:sRNA from 2 species
CUCCAACUCAUGCUCAUGGAUAGGUAUGCUCCUUUCCAAAUCAGCCAUGCCGGGUAGCCUUUUAUACCGCGAAAAAAUCCAUUGUCGUUCGGCUCACUACCGCCCUCAUGUGGCAACUGCAUCAACGCUUUAGAACUGCCAAUAUAUGCAAGGACUCCGAGAUUCUUGAACGAGAAACCGGGUGACAGGUCCAGAUUACCCCGAUUGAGUACAUUGGCCAGCCAGAUGGCUUCUUGACUUGUCGCUUGAGCGGUCGCUGGGGGGGAGCCAGACUCUAACAUACAGGUGGCUAUCCACGAGAAGGGCGCCAACUUUAGGAGUCUUAUGCACUUUCCAGGUUGUAAUUUGGGGUUCAGUGACAGGGCUUCCAGUUUCCUUUGAGAGAGCAGACAAUAUUGGAAAUGGAUCGAUUGUAUUGAGUGCUUUGUUGACGAAUGGGCCAAUUUCGUUACCUGUCGCCCAGACACACAUACCAACCCCUUCUUCGCCUUCCUCCUUCGUCCUAAGCGUCAAGCAGCUUUUUGGAUCCAUUUCAUGGAGUCCUUCGGUGUUAGGUUCUCCCCAGCGCAAUUCUUCAAUGUGCCGGUUCAUUUUUAUCGUCACGCCCUCCCUCUUCAGCGUCUCCAUUGCGUAACGAGAUAGGGAUUUAUCAAAGGUGCUAAGGACUGUAGGAGCUACGUCAUAUAAAAUUAUUCGAACAUCGCCCUUCAGUUGCGGGUAGACUUUGAACAUAUCUUCGUGGAUGAAGUCACACAGGGACGCAGAAAGCUCUGUCCCGGUGGGACCUGCACCGACGAUAGCAAAACGCAGAAGAUGUCGUCUCAUCUGAGAAGUCACCCUUGGCAUCGCCGCCAGCUCGAAACAUUCACGGAUACGCCGUUUAACCUUCCUCGCAUCGCCGACGUCUUUGAAGAAUAACGCAUUAUCUCUUACACCAGGUGUGUUGAAGGUUCGAGGGGUGCAGCCCACGGCGAUAAUCAACUUAUCAUACGGGACUUCAAAGAGCUGACCUUGCUCCCAUGCCCUCCGCUGCUUCUCAGGCUGAUCUUGUUCCACACGAGCAGAUUCCGUCACGCCACUCUGAACAACAGAAGCCUCGCAUGUUACCACUUUCCGAUGGAAGUCUACGCUUUGGGCGGCCGCUUGGAUAAAAUUGAUAUUGCUUUUCCGAUCACGAACGGGCUCGACAAUCUCGGAGAAAUUGAGUGACCCAACAGCCGCGUCGGUGAGGAGAGGGGUAAAGACGAAGUAUGAACGAGGGGAAAUGAUGGUGCGGUUGAAUUUCGAAGGGGAUAACUUCCGAGAAACCGUCCAUCCUCCCCAUCCCGAGCCUAGGAUGACAACGCGCUCUUCGUUUCCCCGGGGCGCAGGAUCAGUAGUAUAAUUGCGAACACCUGCCUGGGUCUCGGCGUACAUGGUUCGAAAGGCGCGGUUAGACACUCUCAAGACUCCUGAGCUCAUAGCCAACCUCCGCAACCGGACAUCACUGGUCACACGCAUGUGACAAAAUUCUGGAGAAAGCCAACCCAUUCUUGCGCAAAUGGGGCUCGUAGGUGAUCGCGAAGCUCGCCAGUUCGGUGAAAAUUUUCUUUUUUAACAUCCCACCUACUGAGCAUGGUAUUUUCACGAGGGGGAAACAUCUUCCAUUUUAUGUAAAAAGGUUUCAUUCCAACUUCUUUCGGUCCCCGGACCAAACACAUGCUGUUAUCUCCUGCAAUACAAGAACAGACUCGGCAUGACCUCAUUAUUACUCAGCUUAAUGCUAGAGAGUAUCAACAAAGAUACUUGCGGGAAAAAACGGAGCUUCCUACAUGAUCUGUGAGAUCCUUGGAAUACUUGUGGGAACGAGUUUCAACUUGCCCACGGCGAGAAUUAUCGUAAUUUCUCCCUGCAUUUAGAUACUAGUACUAGUAGUUAUCAGGCU